rnacentral:rRNA from 1 species
CCUACGGGGAGCAGCAGUGGGGAAUAUUGCACAAUGGGGGAAACCCUGAAGCAGCGACGCCGCGUGAGUGAAGAAGUAUUUCGGUACGUAACGCUCUAUCAGCAGGGAAGAAAACGACGGUACCUGACUAAGAAGCCCCGUCUAACUACGUUCCAGCAGCCGCGGUAAUACGUAGGGGUCAAGCGUUAUACGGAUUUACUGGGUGUAAAGGGCACGUAGACGGCAGCGCAAGGCCGGAGUGAAAUGCCAUGGCUUAACCAUGGAACUGCUGUGGAAACUGUGCAGCUGGAGUGCAGGAGAGGUAAGCGGAAUUCCUAGUGUAGCGGUGAAAUGCGUAGAUAUUAGGAGGAACACCAGUGGCGAAGGCGGCUUACUGGACUGUAACUGACGUUGAGGCUCGAAAGCGUGGGGAGCAAACAGGAUUAGAUACCCGUGUAGUC